AAACCCAAAAAUUUAGCCCAAUUCGGAUCUAGCCCAUAAUUCCCAAAUACUUUAGAGACCAACGAACGACCUCUGCUUCUUCAUCUUCAACCUUCAGCCGUCUCCCUGAUUUUCUUCAACCAAAAACACCCAAAACUGAAGAACCCCUCCAUAGCUGCCGCUGACCCCGUCCUCUUAUUCAACUCACAGGCGACCUCCAUGCCGUUUACCAACCAAGCAGCAUCCGACGACCAGCCGUACACACCAGACCCAACACAUCUCUGCCGAGCUGAUUCGAGGUCGUUGUUCGCGAUUCGCCAUUCAAGGUUCGGAUUCCGUUCUUACUUGCCGAUUUUGAAAAAUCAAGGUUCGUUUCUAUUUCUUGCUCUGUUUUGGUAGGAUUGAAAAUAUGAUGUUGAUGGCUUAAUUAAUUUAUGAUUCUUUUCAACAACCAAAAUGGUUAAUAUUUCUUGUUCUAGUAUUUUUCUUCUCCUUUUGUUUUUUUUCGAUUAUGUUUAGUGCAAUGCUAAAAUGAUGUUAGUUUCUCUAGAAAGGUUCCAUAUUUGCUUACUAGCAGCUGAAACUCUUAUUGCAAUUAACAUUGUAUUAGUACUAAUUUGAGAGGAUUCUAAAACACUGAUUAAUUAAGGUAGUAGUAGUAGACUGGAUUUUGUUGAUUUUGUCGUUUGUCUUACUAAUUAUUUGAAUUAAUAUUUUGUUGAUAUUUGUUCCGUUUUGGUUGAAAGUCUAAUGUUUUUGGUUUGUUCCAUUUUUGUGAUUGUUUGGAUUACAGUAUGGGGGUCUAGAAGUAUGAAUUCACUAUAAAAAUGCAUUGUCAGAAUUGAGAUUAGAGAUAUAAAUUCAAAUUCAUCGUAUCUUUCAUAUCAUGUCUGAUUGUGUAUUUUUGGUUUUGUUACUCACUUGGAUAAUGCAAUAAAUGAGAAACUUCUGCAAGUUCUUUAACUUAUUAGUUAGUACAUGGAAGAAAGUUUGCAGCAAUUGUUUUUAACUUCCACAAGGUUAGACAUUUUCUUAUCAUGCAUGUGUUGCUACUUAGUGAAGGAUUGAUUUUCUUUAAAUAUCUUUUUUUUUUUCCUUUUGCAUCACCCCUUAUGUCAUAAUGGGGCUUUGAUUAAUUCCAAGUCUAUCCAACAAUCUUACUGUAGAACCUUAGAAGCUUACCGAUAAGUGUUGUUGAACUUUUGUUGUUA